UGAACAGACUUUGCAAAAUACAGUACUCCCAGUUUGUGCUGUUUUCAAAGAUGCUUUUGUGGUAAAAUUUUCUCCUUGAAUCUGGUACAGUGAAUGCUGGCAGAGAUGUUUCACAGCUGAGAGCUGGGAAAGGGAGCUGAGGGAAUUACAGUGCCUAGUUGUAGCAGAAUGAAUUGCCUUCCCACUGACUAAAACUGUGUUUCUGACUGGGCAGCUAGCAUUCAGGGUGGAGGAACAUAGAAUUUAUUUGUCUGCAUCCUUCCUUGCCCUUGUUUGGGCAAGACCCAAACAUUCAUUAUAUCAGGUAUAUAUCAUAGGAGGUAAUGCCAGUUCCUUAAAACACAGGCAGACUGAGUGAAUCAAAAGAUGGGUGCUUUUAUUCCUUAUCAGAGGCUGAAGGCUGAGAGCUGAUGGCAGGAUUUUUAGGCUUAUCAAAACAGGUCUGUAGCUCAGGGAUCCUGAAAUCACCACUAUCCCAUAUAAGAUAACAUUUGUAAUUUAUCUCCAUCCUAUGAUGGUAUUUGGUGAAGAGGUUGAGCCAAAGUUCCCGAAACAUACAGGUAACAAAACCAUUAUCAGUCUUUUUACUUUCUCGUAGCAAAUUCUCAGAUUCAUCCUUUUGACAUUGCAUGUCAUUGCAGUUGCAAUGCUAUUUCCCCUCUCACAGUUCUGAAAAAUGUCUUUAUUGUGCUGUUUCCUCUCAAGCACUUUCUUAAUACUCCUCUCUCCCUAGAGAGCAAGGCUGUCUAACCACUGCACCAGAAAGGUGCACAAUGUACGCUGCUGCAGUGUGGUGUAGUAACGCUUGCUCGUUGGCGGCUCAGUAUGUGAUUGCAAAAGGACUGAUCCUGUCAUCAAAAGUGCAGAGCAACAGAGGUCAGACGGAAAUUACAGAGAAUGAGAAGACGGAAAAACGAAGCGUGCAGCUGUCUGUGAUAAUUCGGAGUUGAUUUCACAGCUUGUGCAAGUUUUCUUCACCCACUUGGAAGCCGUCUCCCUGGGGAAUUGGUUCCACUCCAGCAGAACAUAUACAAGCUCUUGGUACAACAGGAGCAGCUUUUAUAUCCUCAUAGCAAAUCAAUAAUGAUAUUUGCUCCAUAAAACAGGAAAACUGUAACAGCUGAAAAAAAUUGUUUCUUCCAUUUUUUAAAUGCUGAAUUCCACCUCUGCCAGGAAAAUGAAACCUCUUUCCUAGCUCUACCAUGUUUUGUUACAGGUCUACACAUAUUCUACAGUCUCAUUUCCUGCUUUGCUGCCUUUCAUAUUUGCAGGGCCAUAUCUGAGAAACAUUGACCCAGAUAAGACUGCUUGUACUCAGACUCUAGUCUUUCACAUUUGCUAGAGAAAUAAAAAUACAACCAAUGUGCA
rnacentral:lncRNA from 1 species